GAUUGCAAAGCUUCCAACUGCUCAGAAUCUGAAGGUAAAUUAAGCAACAUUUGAAAGACCAGCUACCACUGCUACAUGAAGAAGUAAUAGUCCAUCUUUGAAAAAUAUGUGGAGAAUGGCAUUUUUCAUCUCAGUUCCUUAUUUGUGGUGAUCUUAUACAUGCAAUUUUCCCUUGGAAUGUUCUUUGACUCAUCAAAAUGUGAAACUGGGAUUCUCCCAAGAUUCUCUAGUGACUGGAAAAUAGGAGAUGUACCAGAGAAAGAGAGAGAGAGGGAAAGAGAGAGGAGUGAUAAUGAUUUUCUGCUAUCCCAAGAGCCUUUAUCCUUAAGACCAUUUCUGAGGGCAGUUUGUCUCCGCAAUCUUUCAACCAGUACAACUGAUGAAUAUAUCUGGUCGUUAUCUUUUUUUUAUUUAUCUUUUUUUAUCUUUUUAUCAAUUAUCUUUUUUUUCCUUUUACAAUUUUUUUUUUGACACAGAAUUUCACAACUGACAUAAAUAAAUGGCUGUAUCUACCAUUGCUGUUAAUCUUU
rnacentral:lncRNA from 1 species